GAAAUAUAGCUGUGACUGCUAGUGUUAGGAAAGCGUUAACCGCAAAAGAACAAACAGUGAAUAACAGGAAAAAGCUUAUUUUGAUGUAUUCCUAAUAAGGAAAAUGUUAAUAAGGAAGUGUGUGUAAUUGAUUAUGGUUUUAAGCUAUAUAAGCUUUUGUAUUCCCUUUCGGGGGGGUCGGCAGCUUGGCUGUCGUUCCCCUGCAUGCUUGUAAUAAAGUGGGCUUCAGGCUGUUCUGAUCCAAACACAACACGUGGUAAUUUUUUCCACAACAAUUAAAUGGUGCUGUGAUUCGGAUAGACAGCCGACCCCCAGAACCAGAGGACCACGAGCAGCUCCCCGCCAGACCCAGGGCUCAUCUGAAAGGUAAGAGACCUUUUGAAAUCUCUAUUGUGGGUUUCUGAUGGAGGAUUUCCCACAGGCUCUGGGUUCGGGUGAGUUGCAUGCUCUAUUUGGACUUUUUGCUGCCAGACAUGCCUGAUGCCCUUCUGGUUCUGGUUUCCCUGGGAAGAGCCACUGGGAAUGGCUGAGUCUCUUUAUACACAGGUAAAAGAAGCACUAUCUAAGAAUCCUGAGCAUCCCUGCCACUCACUGGGGCCAAAAGACUGGGUCUAUAUAAAGGUCCAUCAGUGAAUGACCACCCUGGCCCUGCGCUGGAGAGGCCCUUACCAAGUCCUGUUAAUUACCAACACAGCUGUGUGGUGCCAGGGACUGAUUGCCAUCCCUCCACCUCGGGAUAAUCCUCCGACUGAUGCUGCUGUUCCUUCUGGACAGCAGGAGAAAAGAACAAGGUGAAGUGCUAGUAACCUCUCCCUUAUCCACUGACAGAACUACUGUGCAUUUGGACUUUGCUAGAAGAAGCAAACCAUUACAGGGUGAUGUGCUGGUAACCUCUCCCCUGAAUAAUGCUAAACCACGGCUGUUCCAAGAAAGAAGAAGGAACACUCGCUCUGCUGAAAUCACCAAAGUCCUAGGGAUUCCUGACUACAAAAGACAUUAAGAAUUGGCCCUGGUGGAAAAGACGAAGUAUUGUUAAUUGGCAGGGAGGGAAUUGUGGGGACCGCACUUGGAAAUGUGGAGUUGAGUGGUGGGGUGGGUUUUUUCUGGGGGGUGGGCUCUGUGCUUACGGACAAGUACCAUCAAAAUGCACUGCCAUCCCUAAUUGGCUCCGGAGGAUGAAUACCAAAAACACCUUGCUGCCACAGACAUUACUCCCACCAUUCCCUCCACCUCUGUCACCAUCCCUUAAAUUUACCCGAAUACAGAUAAUACUGUGUAUUCUAAUGAAACCCAAUGGCCCAGGCCUUCACAUCUUAGUGAUUUACUAAAAUUUUGUUCAGAAAUUUUUUUUUAAGUUCAAAAUACUUCAUAUAAGCGAACAAUUAAGUAAAAAACAAAUGCGUCGGUGAAAAUAGAAAUAUAUAAUAUUACUACAAAUGAGCCCCAGGAAUCAGAAAUUAAGAUUAAUGGGUUCUAUGACAGGGUAGAUAUGAUGGCUGCUCCUGAACUCUGCAUAUGUUGGAUGAAGUAGGCCCUUACUGUUAUUUGAUCACCCAACUAGUAAAUAAUCAAACGUAUACUCAAAGAACUUGCUCUGCCAUGGAAAAAUAUAUCUGUAUUAAAAUUAUCCCAGUAACUGAUAAUUUAACCCGCGCCAUAUUGCAACAUACCACUUCCUAUGCACUUGAUGCUGCUGCCUCCCAGAAGCACUUGCAAGUAACUAACCAACAAUUGUGGUACAGCCCUUCACAGAGAAAGGAUGGGUUAGAAUGUCAAUGGACCGUGAUUAAUGCUAUACUAGGAAAUGUCACGUUCACAUUGCCCUUUUAUCCAGUUUUCAAGUCACCUCUAUAUAUCCAAAUUGCUCAAAAGGGGCUGCUAUUAGGUUAGCUCAGCAAAGGGCCUGGGUUGCCUCUAG